UACAACAACAUGGAUAGAGGAAAAAUAUUAUGUUUAAGAUGAACACAGUUGUGUACAGUACAUUCAUGUUUUGGUAGCAAAAAUAUCAUAUCAAUUGGGUGCACUGCUGGCCAAAUGAUUUAGCAGGCCAUAGACAAACAUAGGUAAAAACUCCAGUCGGUCUAGAGUUCACAUGUUCACGGUAUAGCAAAGUCAUUAUGUAGGUCGCUGUCCAGUGCUGCAUAAGUGCUGAAAUGCUCUUGAACUCUGUCCAAAGAACUAUCAUAAUAUUCCACAGACAUUGAAGUGAAAAAGACAGAUGAAUGAAGCGAGGAUUCAAAACAAAAGAGACAUACAUCAACUGUUCUGUGAAUACUGUGGGGGUGACCUGUGAGUCCAACUGGGCCCACAUGUGGUUCUGUCCUGAACACAGAAUUUGGGCUCACAUCACUGUUAUUAUUGGAGCGACUUCACAGGCUAGUGCAUUUCCCUGUUGAUCCCAACUAAGCAUGUGGGAUGCCAACACACGCAACCCAAUGCAUCUGGACCUACUGCCAGAACAACUGGCUCAAACCUUUUUGUCUGAAUAGAAUGAACCAUUUGAUGUUCACCAAAUGUGUGACUGCUUGAGACCACAACAUAACACCUUUUAAGUUCCUGAGAGAUGGAUAAGUUGCAGCAGCAUCAUAAAAACAUUGUUUCAUUGAGGAGAAACUUGUGAAAGAUGCAGUCAGUAGACUUGUUUGAAUUAUUUAUGUAGUACGAGAUAGCUGUUCAGUCUUAUCCUCCUGACGUCCUGAAAAAUAAUGUCCCCCUCUACGUCACAAUGGGAUCCGAUAAACUAUUAGCGUACGUUGCUAUAUUAAUUUGGCCGGGGGACACUAUGUGGCAUGACAGGCCCUCUUAUGGUUUUAAAAUUAACUUAGCCUUCAGAUGCUUUUGGGAAACCAGGCCGAGGAGAGGUGCAGGUGACACAAUAGCUGAACCACUUAACUGGAGCAAUGAGGGAAGACCACUAUAGUCUAGGACUGUAGGUUAUGAGGGAAGAUCACUAUAGUCUAGGACUGGAGGUUAUGAGGGAAGAUCACUAUAGUCUAGGACUGUAGGUUAUGAGGGAAGACCACUAUAGUCUAGGACUGGAGGUUAUGAGGGAAGAUCACUAUAGUCUAGGACUGGAGGUUAUGAGGGAAGACCACUAUAGUCUAGGACUGGAGGUUAUGAGGGAAGAUCACUAUAGUCUAGGACUGGAGGUUAUGAGGGAAGAUCACUAUAGUCUAGGACUGGAGGUUAUGAGGGAAGAUCACUAUAGUCUAGGACUGGAGGUUAUGAGGGAAGACCACUAUAGUCUAGGACUGGAGGUUAUGAGGGAAGAUCACUAUAGUCUAGGACUGGAGGUUAUGAGGGAAGACCACUAUAGUCUAGGACUGGAGGUUAUGAGGGAAGAUCACUAUAGUCUAGGACUGGAGGUUAUGAGGGAAGAUCACUAUAGUCUAGGACUGGAGGUUAUGAGGGAAGAUCACUAUAGUCUAGGACUGGAGGUUAUGAGGGAAGAUCACUAUAGUCUAGGACUGGAGGUUAUGAGGGAAGAUCACUAUAGUCUAGGACUGGAGGUUAUGAGGGAAGAUCACUAUAGUCUAGGACUGGAGGUUAUGAGGGAAGAUCACUAUAGUCUAGGACUGGAGUUAAUGGAAGACCACUAUAGUCUAGGACUGGAGUUAAUGGAAGACCACUAUAGUCUAGGACUGGAGUUAAUGGAAGACCAUAUUCUAGGGUAAAUCGUGCUGGUUUAGAGUAUUAGAAUAAUAGAGUGCUUGCUCAGAAAAGAGAUUAAG